CCUACGGGUGGCAGCAGUGGGGAAUAUUGGUCAAUGGACGAGAGUCUGAACCAGCCAAGUAGCGUGAAGGAUGACUGCCCUAUGGGUUGUAAACUUCUUUUAUAUGGUAAUAAAAUGUUCCACGUGUGGGCUUUUGUAUGUACCAUAUGAAUAAGUAUCGGCUAACUCCGUGCCAGCAGCCGGGGUAAUACGGAGGAUCCGAGCGUUAUCCGGAUUUAUUGGGUUUAAAGGGAGCGUAGGUGGAUUGUUAAGUCAGUUGUGAAAGUUUGCGGCUCAACCGUAAAAUUGCAGUGGAAACUGGCAGUCUUGAGUACAGUAGAGGUGGGCGGAAUUCGUGGUGUAGCGGUGAAAUGCUUAGAUAUCACGAAGAACUCCGAUUGCGAAGGCAGCUCACUGGACUGCAACUGACACUGAGGCUCGAAAGUGUGGGUAUCAAACAGGAUUAGAUACCCUGGUAGUC
rnacentral:rRNA from 1 species